AUCCAACUCCCGUAUGACCUGC
rnacentral:snRNA from 1 species